rnacentral:rRNA from 1 species
AUUGAACGCUGGCGGCAUGCCUUACACAUGCAAGUCGAACGGCAGCACGGGAGCAAUCCUGGUGGCGAGUGGCGAACGGGUGAGUAAUAUAUCGGAACGUGCCCAGUAGUGGGGGAUAACUGCUCGAAAGAGCAGCUAAUACCGCAUACGACCUGAGGGUGAAAGGGGGGGAUCGCAAGACCUCUCGCUAUUGGAGCGGCCGAUAUCCGAUUAGCUAGUUGGUGGGGUAAAGGCCUACCAAGGCAACGAUCUGUAGUUGGUCUGAGAGGACGACCAGCCACACUGGGACUGAGACACGGCCCAGACUCCUACGGGAGGCAGCAGUGGGGAAUUUUGGACAAUGGGCGCAAGCCUGAUCUAGCAAUGCCGCGUGCAGGAAGAAGGCCUUCGGGUUGUAAACUGCUUUUGUCAGGGAAGAAAUCCUCUAGGUUAAUACCCUUGGGGGGAUGACGGUACCUGAAGAAUAAGCACCGGCUAACUACGUGCCAGCCGCCGCGGUAAUAC